CGGAAUGGUUAGCGAAACGAAUCAGCAUCACUGGUAGUUGCCUUUUCUUCAACGGUAAACCGUCAUCUUAUACAAAACAAAUGGAACAUACAACUGUUAUCUAUCUAUUAUAUAUCGUUGCAAGCAGAAGAGAAUCCGCUACAAGUCAAUUCCAGCCUGCAAACACUAUUCGAAAAAUUUAGUCUCCUUCAGCGCCAGCGCCACAAGAAAAUACGAAAGGUGAAUUUUGGAUUGAUAUGUUUCGGAGAAGGAGUAUGUAUAUCACAUUUUCAUUAUGCUCAAAAACAUCCCCAUCGAAUUAAUUCCAGGCUUGCAAGAAGUUGAUUGGAGACCACAGUUUCUGACUCAACAUGUUUCUCGGCCGUUAGCGAAGUCCGUAGAUCAUGACAAACAAGUUGGCAAACAAAUGAACUCGUGUGCUACAAUCGGUUCGACAACAUACCGCCGCCUGGCUAUUCGGUGAAACCGGCUGAGAUUCCUGAUUAUUAUAAUUAUAUCAAAUAUCCGAUGGAUUUAAAAACGAUGGGGGAAGGAUUGAAAAAUAGAUGAGCAAGACCGUAAAAAAUUGUCUAUAUUUUUUCAUUCAUUGCCGCUUGAUACGCAUGCUAGAUAUUACGUAGCAUGAAGAUUGUUCGUGGCAGAUAUUGCGCGUAUUUUCUGGACUGUCGAUCACCAGAAUCUGAAUAUUAUCGGUGCGCGAACACGCGUUACUAUCACACCAAGAUGAUGAAGAUCUGCCUUUGGGAUAAAUGAUGUUGGUGAGAGGACAAAGCUUACUCCCAUCCGUGGCUUCGAUGA